GAGCAUUUGGGUUGUUGCCCAUUUUGAUGAAGUAAUGGGCCCGAGUUACUUGGAGGAGAGGCAGAUGGCUGUGGGCUAAUUCCUGAAGUGCACUUCUGGGGACCAUCAGCCCUGGCUCCCAGGCUGACAUCCCACACAGGGCUACAGAUUCCAGGAUGAUGCCAUUCAGUGAAGACUCUGUAUGCACUUUUUGGGGAAGAGAACAACAGGAUCUCACUUUGUUCUUGGGAACUCCAUACAUGGCAGGCCUGCGUGUAUGGGUGCCCACCUUUAUGUGGCCAAACAGAGACAUAUCUAAACUGGUUUUAUAGGAUUUGGAGGAAAUGCCCUAAAUAGAAAAGUUGGAAGAAUAAAAUCUGUGAAAAGGAAAGCAAAAAGGUGACAGGAGAGCCACAAACAAAGGAGAAUCUUGCCUUGGCCGUGUUCAGUGGAGACUGGAAUUUGGUGAGAACCAGUUCACUUCGAGCCCCACAAAAGGGUCUGAUGACUAAAAAAUUAAAGGAAUACUGUCGUCAGACUGCUUUCCAGAGAGGCGGUCCCACCAGAUGGCCCUUGAAGACCAGGAAGGGGAGCUUCCAGCCAUCCUAGACCCCUUCCCACAGAGGAACAGGGCCGAUGAAAAUGAGGUGUGGGAGCAGAAGUCAUCCGGCCUGGGCUUCAGCUCUGUGUAGAGCACCACAUGCAGCAUCGGCUUCCAAAUGGGACUGGCUUUUAUUUCUAGAAGUGAUGGAGGUGGUGAAAGAAGUUUCAUCCCAGCUGUACUUCUGAGGGCAAUCUGGAUGAAGCUGGAGGCACACAUGCCCAUCCCCUUCACUCCUGUCCUUAGGCCACUGACCAGUGAACUCUGCCCAGGAGCCCUUCUCCGUCAGGAGGAACGUCGGCGGGUGGUCCACCCUAUCCUUACCCUCAGUCCUCCCUCUGUGGGCCUCCAGGUCCCCUCUCCAUAGUCCGCUAGGAUAAGGACUCUUGUCCCCACCUCCUAUGCUCUUCCUCCAUUCUGCCUCCUGCUGUCAUCCCAAUGGCCUCCACAUCCACUGGGAUGACCCUCACCUCCUCCACUUUGGCCUGCCUCCUCCUCUCCAGUUCCACUACGCCCAUGGCCACAACCCACACGGCUCUACCUCUGUCUGAAAUGCCCUUUCAAACACCACCUCCUAUCUUUCCCCCUCCCUCACUGCCUUUAUUCUCAGGAAGUCUGCUCCCAGCCUGCCAGCUCUGUCCUCAUGCCCCUUGGACCAGGUCUUAGGUCUACUGACCCCACAGCCUUCUUCCAUCCUGAUUUGAGUCUUCUGAAACCUCCUUCAUUCAUCUCUCCCUGUCCAGCCCCCAUAUUCAUCGAGUUACCAUGGAGCUGUAUAUUCUCCCCCAGCAUCUCGUGAGUCUGUCCCCUCUUUCCCCCUCUUCACUGCCAGACCCUGCCCUGGUUUGAGCCAUCAUGACGCCUCCCUGUGGUCUGCAGCUCUGACCUUUCUUCUUCCUUCACCCUCAUUGCAGGUCUCCAUGUGCUGGCAUGCUCCACUUAUGGGGUCCACUCACUGCUCCUAAACAGGUCAGAAAUUUUCAUGCUGCCCUUUUCCUGUCUUCCUCCUACGUAGAAUUAGUUGCAUUUUGUGUGUAGCUGUGCCCCUCUGCCCUGUGUCCCAGGUGGUUGGUUACGUGUCUGUACCUUCUACUAGAAGGUGUGGUCUUUGAGGACAAGGACCACUUUUACUCAACUGUAUAAGCUUAGCAGCUAGCACAACACCUGUCAUAUGGCCAAUGUCAAUAAAUAUUUAUAGACUUAAA